rnacentral:rRNA from 1 species
CUCUAUGGUACCGUCAUCCCCUAUCUCUAUUAAAGAUAAGGAUUUCUUCCCACUUAACAGAAGUUUACAACCCGAAGGCCUUCMUCCUCCACGCGGCGUCGCUGCGUCAGGCUUUCGCCCAUUGCGCAAGAUUCCUCACUGCUGCCUCCCGUAGGAGUCUGGACCGUAUCUCAGUUCCAAUCUGGCCGAACACCCUCUCAGGCCGGCUACCCGUCAUCGCCUUGGUGGGCCUUUACCCCACCAACUAGCUGAUAGGCCGCAAGCUCAUCCUUUAGCGGCAGCUAGAGGCCACCUUUCUCCCCGAAGGGACGUAUGCAGUAUUAACUUCGAUUUCUCGAAGGUAUUCUCCACUAAAGGGCAGAUUCUCRCGUGUUACUCAACCGUCCGCCGCUGURCUCAUUCCCGAAGGAACUUUCUCGCUCGACUUGCAUGUGUUAGGCACGCCGCCAGCGUUUAUUCUGAGCCAUGAUCAAACUCUAAUCGAAUUCCCGCGGACGCCAUGGCGGCCGGGAGCAUGCGACGUCGGGCCCAAUUCGCCCUAUAGUGAGUCGU